UACGUAGGGUGCAAGCGUUGUCCGGAUUUAUUGGGCGUAAAGAGCUCGUAGGCGGUCUGUCGCGUCGGAUGUGAAAACCCAGGGCUCAACCCUGGGCCUGCAUUCGAUACGGGCAGACUAGAGUAUGGCAGGGGAGACUGGAAUUCCUGGUGUAGCGGUGAAAUGCGCAGAUAUCAGGAGGAACACCGGUGGCGAAGGCGGGUCUCUGGGCCAUAACUGACGCUGAGGCGCGAAAGCUAGGGGAGCAAACAGG
rnacentral:rRNA from 1 species